rnacentral:lncRNA from 1 species
CUUAAAUAGAUAUAUAUAGUCCGGUUAUUAUAUUCUUAUGAGUAUAUGUCUUUCUGUAUUCAUAAAUUUUCGGCCAUUAGAUCUACCUCUUUGACAAUUUUCAUCCGUUAGAUCAUACUAUUCAAUCAGCAAAUCACUUAAUUCUAGAAAAACACUAUCAUCCUAAUCGGAAAUCACUAUUAUACUAAUCGAAGACCACUAUCAUUCUAACCGCACAUUCCUUCAUCCAACGACUGAAAAAUUAUGAGUACAAAAGAGACUAUACUCAUAAGAGUAUAGUAGCCAGACUCAUCCUUUUACAUAGGUCUUUUUUAUGAUGUAAAUUAUUUUUAAGCGCUUAGAUCUUCGUUUUGAAACUUCUAUGAUAGGUCAAUUUUAGUUUGUGUAAUAAGUUUGUAACUUAAAAGUAUGUAGUUGAAUUCUUACUCAAAGUAAUUAAUAAUAUCAUGAUAAUUCAAGCACUAUAAUAUGCAUAUGUCGUUAAAAGCACAACGGACCUAGGGCUUGAUAGUUGAAUCUAAGAUCCUAAAUUUUAAGCCUAUAUAUAUAUAUGGGGCAAUUUCACCACUACCCCUCUCAAAUAUGAAAAUAUCAUAAAUACCCCUACAAAGUUGAAAAUAUCAUAUAUAUACCCCUUCAAAUGCAAAAAUUUUUCACAAUUACCCUUCCAUCUAACGACUGUUACUAAAACUAUGGUUGAAGUUGGGUUAAAUAAAAGUUGAGUUACAAAAUGACUAAUUUAGCCCUAAAAAUGUUAGGUAUUAUUUUGAUAGCAAAUAAUGAAAUAAUUAAGGGGCAAUUUCAUAAGUACCCUUCUAAAUUUUAAAAAUAAUAUCUCUAGCACUAAUUAUUAGUGGGUAAAAAAUAAAGAAACCCCUCACUUGUAAAUCAUUUUGAACUAGAACCCUUUAAGUUUUAUUUUUUAACACUAAAAGAGACCUUGAACUAUCAGUUUUUUUUUAUUUUGACUUUACUUAGUUAAAAGUUUUUUAAUUGAGAUCUCUCGCAUGAAUUUGAUAAAAUUUUUAAUUUUGUUGGAAAAAAACACUCAAUUGCUAAAAUUUUUUAAAAAAAACACUUAGGUUGAGAGGGUAUAUAUAUAUAAAGAGUUUUGUUAUAAUACUAUCGGUAGUACAACUUGGGUUACUAUGAUUUGUUUUUGAUGAUAGAAUUUCCAAAUUGACAAUUAGCACCGUUAAAUAUGAUAUAAACCAUUUAAACUAUCUGAAAAUCAAAUUUCACGCUUUUCUGAGUUACGAUCAUGUCGAAGUGAACUAUAGAUGAGAGGGUUUUCAUAAAAUUUUACUUUAUUGUUAACAAUAAAUUUUCAAUUAAAAAAAUUUUGUUUAAGCAGAUCAUAUAAGUAAUACUCUAAUAUAGAGAAUUUUGAUAUCAAAAUAUUUUUAGCAUGAGAUAUGUGAGUUAUUUAAAUAAAAUUUUUAAAAAUAAAUCUUUAAAUAGUUAAUGUUGAAUUCUACUAUAGACAAAUUGCAUUAUAACUAUGUAUAAUUUAAAAGCGAAAAAUCAUAAUGAGAUUUAACUAUCACACUUAAUAGACUAUGGAUCUUUAAUUGUAAUAUUUUAGAAAUAAUGUUAAAUUAUUAUGUGAUUCAAAUGUUAAAAAUUAAUCAUAUAAUUAAUCUUAAAUAUUAAAUGUUUAAAUUGUUGCUAGGGGUAAAAUUGGUAUUUAUAAAAUAUUGGACGGCCAUUUGACUGAAAGUUAAGCUAAAGGGUAUCUGUGAAUAUAUUUGGGUUUAAGAGGGGUAUUGAUGAUAUUUUUCAGUUUAGAGGGUUAUCCAUGAAAUUAUGAUUUUUCAGAGGGGUAUUGAUGAAAGUAUCCCUAUAUAUAUAUAUAUAUAUAUAUAUAUAUAAAAUACAAAAUAAAUUUGGGUUCGGAUUUGGGUUCGGGUACAAUCAAAAUUCAUAUCCGAAUCCAUAUCCAUACCAUCGAAUAUAUCUGUUUCAUUCGGUUUCGGGUUCGGAUAAAAUUUCGGAUAUCCAUACCUAUUGGCAUCCUAGACGAGAAAGACCCAGACGAGAUGGUCCACCAUGGACCCGGUCCAUGCAAUAAAUACAACCCUUGGGAAUAUCCAAUGGUUUUGGUCCACCCAUUCCCCCAAAACAUCAACAAUCAUUAAUUUUAUUUAUUUAUAUUUCUAAGAAAAAAAUAAUUUUAUUUAAUUAUAUUUCCUUUUUUUUAAGCAUAUUUAAGAGAAAUGCUAUGCAUGGAUACCCCCUCAGCUAUAUGUGAUUGUGAAUUGGGCCCCUCAGCUUUGAACUUUCAAUAUUUCAGAAUCUUAUUUUUAUUUAAAUUUUUUUUAUCAAACUAACAAUUUUAAUAAGUAGUAAUUUAUAGCUAAUAGAAUUACAAUAUUUGGCAUAAUUUUUAACUAGAAUAAUAACUCGAAUAAUUAAAUUUUUUAAAAAGUUAAAUUUGAAGCGGUUUUGUCUAAAAGUGCUAUAAUUGAGGGGUCUCCGUGUAUUUUUUGGCACCAGCAAUUAUUAUUUAACUUCACGUUUUUUUGCUGUAAAAUUUUUUUGUCCUUAUUUGCAAAAAUUUUUAAAUUAACCCCACUAAUUAAUAAUUACAGAGUUUUCGAGGGAUUUUUGUGGAUAGGCUCAAACACGUACACAGCGCAUUAAUCUCUCUCUUCGAUCUACGCCGCCAUUGUUAGCGUCUUCGAGCUCCUUCUCCUUCGUCGUCCUCGUGGCCAACUUCUUAGCCCCCCUCUCAUGGAAGCGGAUGUUUCAAUCCACUCGAGUUGGGGUGCACAGGUGGGGUUUUCUCUCUCUCAAACGCAGUAAAAUUCGAAUUUUUCCAAAAAUUUCGCACCUUUUUCAGUUUCCACGCUUACCAGGUUGGAAAAGCCCUCCUCUUAGAUCUUUUUUCUAACUUUUCGAUUUAAUUGUUUAAAUUAUGCGUGGAUUUGCAGGUUUGGGAUGGGUCGUGGGUUAUAAGCGAGCUAGGGAUUUGUUGAUUGGGCGUGGAGUGUUUUUGGUUAAAAAAAAAAAAAAAAAAAGCUCUUUUUAGGGUUUUGAGGAGAUGGGAAUGUUGAAUAAUAAUAGUGGGAAGAGGUAUUUGUUAUGCUCGUUUGUUAUUGUUGCUGUUAUCUACAUGAUGGCGGGAUUGGGAGCUGCGAAUGUGGUGUUGAUGGGGAAUAACGUGACCUUAUCCUUCGACGAUGUCGAGGCGAACUUCGGUAAGCUUCAAAAUUUCACCUUUUGUGCUUGUUUGAUCUGUGCUGAGUAUAAAUUGUGCUCAUUUUUUGGUUUUGGUUGGUAUCUAUGGCUGUGUUUCAUAAGUUGAUUCAAUUUGAUGUUCACUUUAGCUUGGUCACUAUGGUUUUAUUGUAACUUAGUUUUCGGGAGUGAGAAAUUCGGAACAUCUAUUAUUUUGCGAUCUUAGGUUAAACAGAUUUGUCUAUUUCUAUGAUGUUGAAGCUGUAUGAAGUGCUGAGAAAUAGCAUGUUUGAAAUUAGUGUGUUUUUAUUCUGAAUCAGUUGAAAUAUUACUCAAUUGGUCAGUAGAUCAAGUACUCGAUUGCGCACCUCUCUAUAAAGAAAAGGGAUUUGCGUUGUUAAUGGAGAUUACUUUGAUCCUUCGAAAUCCUGGGGUUUAUUUCUUUGGCAAUUUAAUGUGUCGAAGCUUCUUGUUCUUCUGUAAUAGUUCUAAUUAAGAUGGCUGUUUUAUCUGUAGUACACUUUUGGUCCCAUACUGAUGAUCUUUUGUUUCUGCAGCUCCGCCAGUAAAAGGAUCAGGCGAAUGUGGUGUACUGUACAUAGCCGAGCCUUUGGACGCGUGUUCUCCGUUCACAAAGAAAGCUGUGCAAGGUCCGGUUCCCCCGUUCGCUUUGAUUAUAAGAGGAGGGUGCACAUUUGAUGAUAAAGUUAGAUAUGCACAACGUGCCGGUUUCAAAGCGGCAAUCGUGUACGACAAUGAGGAUGGUGGUGCUUUAAUCUCAAGUAAUGUGCCUUUCUUAUCGCUAUUUCUCCACAUAUUUUCAAAUUUUAAAGCCUUUUCUUACUCAGUUCAUAGUAAAUGUAUGCGUGCAGUGUCCAUACGUGUAUGAUAAGUAAUGUUUAUGCGCCAACGUGUUAUUAUUUUGUUUUUUUGUUAGCAAAACGUUCUAGUUUUGGGAUUUGCAAUGGGCCACUCUAUUGCUUCAUUUACAUGCUCGUGUAAAAAUUUAUAAAUGUUUGACUUUAUGGGAAAGAACUUUAGAUGAUCAGCUAAGAAGAAAAACUUUACUAAAGCAGGUUAAUUCUAAAGUAGGUCUCAUUCGUUAGAAGAAAAAAUGCUUCUCUCCUAGCCAAGGAUUUACGUGCUGUGGUAUGGGGUUGUGCCGAGCAGUUGCCGCCAUGGUAUGUGCCGUACCAUGCCGUGCAGCGCCGAUGUGUGCCCUUCACAAAAAUAUCUUAUGUGCUGACACACUACGUUACAAACUAUUUAUUUUCUUAGGCAUCGGUAGAUUCUAAUUGUUUAUUGUAUAUCUUUGUCAAAUAUUUUGCACUUUAUUAAUGUAACUUCUCAAAGAAAGAGUAUUUUAAACCAUGCCAUCGGCAUGGGGGUCAUAUCAUGUCAAUAUCUUCUCGGCACGGGGGCACGGCCUGUGCUGAUGGGCUCUUAAAUCCUUGCUCGUACUUUUCCACUGCACCUUGGUUGCUGAGUUAGAACUAAAACUUAAAACGUAUAAUUCUUCAAUGUUCUUUCCCUCAUUUUGCAACACAUGACUGUUUAAUUUAGGCUAUUAUUUAGAUGAAAUCGCAAAACAAAUCUCACUUCCGAUCUACUUACAUUCCUUUUCAGUAAGUAGCCAAGCAUUUUAAAUAUAUAAAAAAACUUUGCAGUGGCAGGAACUUCAAGCGGCAUCCAUAUACACGCCGUGUUCGUCUCCAAGGCCUCUGGCGAAACACUGAAGAAAUACGCCGGUCGGACUGAUAUUGAAUUGUGGAUUAUUCCGACUUUCGAGAAUUCAGCAUGGUCAAUAAUGGCUAUAUCUUUCAUAUCACUACUCGCAAUGUCGGCUGUGUUGGCUACAUGCUUCUUCGUACGAAGGCACCGAAUAAGGCGCGAACAGCCUAGGGUUCCUAAUAUCCGAGAGUUCCACGGGAUGAGCAGUAGAUUGGUGAAAGCUAUGCCGAGUCUCAUAUUCACUUCGGUUUUGGAAGAUAAUUGUACGUCAAGAACAUGUGCGAUAUGCCUAGAAGACUACAAUGUGGGGGAGAAGCUAAGGAUUCUGCCGUGCCGUCACAGUAUGUCUCUUAAGCAUGCUAUUCUUCUUCCUUUUUUUUUUUUACUCUUUGUGUUUCUUUAGCCUGCUUUUUGAAGUUACUAAUCUACUUUGAUAAGUCAUUUUACAAAAGGGGCAAAGUGAAACGGUUGUUUUGCACGAAAAAAUCAAAAUAGGGAGGUUAUGUUUUGUCAGAUCUUUUUCAGCGGUUACGGAGGAAAACAUGUUAUAUGAUCAGGGACUACAUUCCCUGUGAAAAUUUCAAGGAGUAAUGCUGGAAUAUUACAGGAACUAUCAUAACUUUUACCCUCUUCCGAAAAUCAGUUGAAUUUUUGCUCACCAGCUACAUGGGUCAAUCAUAUACAUGAAUGUCACAAUUUUAACUUCACGAACUUGAUAGAUCCUCCACUUCCUAAAUGAUGUGAUCAAUCAUCUUCCAUGAUUGUACUGCACAAUCCAUACAGAUCCUGAGCAAUUGCUGAAUUAUAAUCAUCGUUCUUUAGUAAGUCGUAGAAGUUUCAACAACACUCAUUACAUGAUGGAAUAGCCUUCUGUGAACUUGCUAUGAUGCAAAAGAAGAAACUAAUGUAGCGAAUUCGUUGGUAUGCUUAGGACAGAGUUUAUGCUCUUUCCAAUUUUAUCUGUUGGUUUAUAACUUAGGAUUCCGUGCUCUUUCAUUGUAUACCGGUGGCACUUUUUUCUUUUUUGGUGCAAAGGAAACCACUGUACUGCUUUUGAAUGCUUAAUAAUUUAAAGUACUUUCUGUAUAAUGAAUACAGCCUGUCCUUUACAUUCAUUAAGCUGUUCAUUAAAGGACUUUCUGCAUUAUAGAACCUGCAAAUCUGUGAAAUUGUGUAUCGUAUUUAUGUAUGUGCCCUUCGCGACCAUACGUAUUCGCAUCGAAGCCCCUUCCAGGGUAAUAUAUGCAAAAGCCAUUUUCGCAAGCAGGGUGCAUGCGAAUAAUGUAGGUUUUUUAUGGUUAUUUACGCAAUUUCACAUAUUAGUGGGAGUGUAUGUAUGCAAAAACCUCUUUGUUUAUUCAUUUCACACUUGCUCUCUGACCUAUCUAAUCAAUUCUUAUUUCAGAAUUCCAUGCUCUUUGUGUCGAUUCGUGGCUCACCACCUGGCGGACCUUCUGUCCUGUCUGCAAGCAAGAUGCAAAUGCUGGGAUGGCCGCCAAUCUUCCUGCGUCGGAAUCCACCCCUUUGCUUUCUUCCAAUGCACCGUCUCCAAUCUCGUCUAGGGCGUCUUCCUUCCGCUCAUCGGUUCCCGCAUCCCCGUCUAUACAAAUACUCCCACCUCCCCAUGCGCAAUCAGUUUCCCGAACUUACUCCAAUUCUAGUAAUCCCCUCAUCCCUAACCCUAACCCUAGUAGGUCCUAUACCCGCUCCUCGGCUAUCAGCAUAAGCGGAAGCUCCGCCGACCUAAGACAUCUAUCGGCCUCCCACCGAUCUCGAGCCUCUCAUUUAGCUUCUCCGCAAUCGUUGGGCCUUCCGAUGUCCUCCCCAGUCAAUUCAAGGCUCAUGAAUCCGUAUAUUCCUAAUUCAAGCAAUGCAUCCCCGAGCUAUCUUUAUGGGUCUUCGAGCCGGCAGUCGUACUUACGGCACUGCGCCGAAUCGGACGCCAGUUUGUCUGCUUUGGCUUCUGCACAGUCUCUUCCCGGAUGUUGAUCCUCUUCGCAAUUCUCAUACAUCUUCUCAAUCGGGGCUUUAUCCCGGUUCGGCUCCAUGUGAUCGGCAACUUUGGUGUGCGGGUUGAUGCGUCGGGUGCAAAUGUCAAUACACGGCGAAUAUGAGUUGCAGAUAUUGAUAUUCUCAUAGAGGGUUCUAUUUGGUGCUGUGGUUGUUUGUUUUCGUAGUUCUUUUAUUUGUAUCUGUCUUACUGGUGGUUUUGGUUUUCGUCGGAAAAUUUACUAUUUCGGGCUCGCAUACUUCUGUCUAAACACUGUUGACACCUCUACUUUUUACACGACGGAAUUGGUGUUGUCAUACCUCAUAUACUUUGAUUAUUUUCGGAAUGGAUGUGAAUAGGAAAUCCAAAUAUUAUGUGUAAUUUGGAGUUCUCCACAAUUUGAUUAUUUUUAUCAUUGUGGGCAAGUUUCUCUACUUGAUUCCUUCUGAGAGUUCUCUGCAACUUGAUAUGUUUCAUGUUUUAUACUGCUAUGUCCAUCUUUUAUAAUUUUUUAUGUUAUUGGGACUAUUAUGUGCCUAAUUAGUGAUUAAACAAUUGUUAUAUGAUAAUGCAUGAGUAAAUCUCAAUUGGUAUGGAAUUUUUUUUUUUUUUUGUUUUCCCUGACAAACUGGGCUAAAGUACCUAUGGUUUUCCAUUGAUUGCUGGCCUUGGUAAUGAUUUUAUUUUAUUUUAUGAAUGCCUCAUAUUUGUUUUAAUGGGUUGAUGGAGGUGGGAGCAAGAUAUUUAAGUAAUCUGGAUGAUUGAUGUUUUACUGGACUUCAAAAAAAAAAAAAAAAAAAAAAAAAAAAAAAAAAAAAAAAAAAAAAAAAAAAACUUGUGAAGCAGGCAUGGAUGUCUGGUAUUUAGACUGCUGUCUUUAUAAAAUGUUGAUGUAUUGGUAAAUGUAUGUAAUAUUUUUAACUUUUUUUCAUCAUAUAUGCUAACACUUUAAUGAUAUUUGUUACUUUUCUUGGUUACUCUGGUUGUUUUGCUUUGUCUUUUAUGAAACUAGAACAGGGUGGGAUCACGUUAUACUUUUCAAUCUCAAUACGCAAUUUUUUUUUGCAGUUCCAUGUAUAAAAAAUUUCUGCAUAUGGAAAAAUAUCAACAGCAGGAUGCAUAUGUACCAUUCAAUAUAAAUAGUAUUAAAUAUAUUUCGCGUUGCUGAUGAGUGAUGAAUGAUGUGUUGUCGUCGUGCAUAAAUGUUCCUGUCAAGAAUUUAAGUGCCAUAGUACGAGGUCGUGUCGGAAACUUACAGGCACGGACCGUGCCGGUCAUAAAAAAUUCAUCUGUGCCGACACAUAAUAGUAAGAAAUAUUUAUUUUCUUUAGUAAUAAAAUAUUUUAAUUAUUUAUUAUGCAUUUUUAUCAAAUGUUUUGAACUUUAUCGAAAAAAUUACUUAUUAAUUUAAAGAAUAAAAAGUCUUGAACUAUGUUAUCGACACGGAGACUGUAUUAUGCCGAUAUUUUGUUGGUAUAAUACGGCAUGAUUGAUACGGUCCAUACCGAUAGCACUUAAAUCCUUGAUUUCUACGUACAGGGGGUGCACCUAAUUCGUUCUCAAUGUUAAUCCUUUCUUUUCUUAGUGUUUUAUUUUUGGUUGCUCAGCAUCUCAUCUUUCAAACUAAACUUCAAUAUUUGCUCUCUCUCGAGCUCUCGCUCAGUGAAUAUUAAGCUUAUAGAUUGGACGAAAUGCAGCAUUGAACUUCUGCAUGAAAUGAACAGCCAAUAGAAAGUUCAAAUGAAAGAACAAAUCUCGAAUUAAAUGAGACGCAAAACUCAGAAAAGGUUCCGCAAUAACGUGAAAAAAUGGGCGAUUCUAGUCAUUUUCAUUAUGAUUACAAACAUAAUGCAAAAUUUACUCCAAACGAGAAAGAUUACAGCAAACAUCAAACAUUUCCAAUCAAAGGUCUUAACACAGCCAAAAUUGUUUCGCUUCUGUACACAAAUAUAAAAUCACAAUGAAAGAUGUUAUGAGAUCCACAAUUUGUGCAUGGCGUGCAAUUGAACCAAACUAUUCGAUUUCAAUGAUAUGCGGUACAUCUCCCGCAGCUUCGCGACAUCUCCACCUCUACUGCAUGUAGUUGCUUGGCUAAAAGAACCGGGCUUGUUUGUAUUCCCCGAAUGCACUGUUGCCACCAUAGCUUUUAGCAGCGACUGUAACUGAUUCCAGAAUUUCGCUUUGAUUUCUAGCUCCUUGUCGAAUGAAUUAUCCUCGGUUGCUUCCACUACGUGGCGGGCUUCUAGUAAGUGGACAAGUGCAGCUUCGAGCAUCUGCAACAGAAUAUUUGGAAACAAUGUAAUUACAUAUUAACCUGUUAUCUAGGCAUUAUUGAAUUAAAAAGAUAAUAAUGUACAACUUCGCAUGCAAACGAAGAAUAAAUACACAAUUUGGUGAUGGCGGGCCUGAUAAGAUGUGCCUGUGCAUCACCGGCUGCAUCGCUAAUUUUAAACUCAGAACAUUUCACUCUGAAUGAUUCAUCGUAACUGAGAAUCACAAACCUCAACAAACCUGCCAAUGUAAUAUGACAAAGGAUACCCUUUUCUAAUCCACAGAGUAAGUCAAGAAGCAGGAUCUGUUUGGUUCUUAGGAAAAUGGAACCCAUACAUCCCGAGCAAAAGCGAAAAGCAACACUGUACAGUUUUAGUACGGUUUUUCCAAAGCCGAAAGCAUAGCAGAACCCACCAGAAAACAGAAGAAACAAGACUGAAGCCAAGAAACUGAACUCUAGACAUAUUUAUAGAUUAAACAAAACUAUCAAAACUAUCACAGACAAAACUAGAAGUCAUGAUAUGUGAACAUUUUAAUAUAUUAAAAGAAAUCUUUGAUAAAUAUCUUGAUCCAGUGCUGUUAGAAAAGAUCCAGCAGCUCAAGAGGGUGUAUGUAUCUUCAUAUAGAACCACUAGAUCAAGUGUGUACGCAUUCAUAUCUAAACAUACAUGGUUUGUUCUUCUUCUUUCUUUUCUUUUUUGGCAGGUUCAGUUUCAAUUUCAGCGACCCACAAAAACAAUAGCCAGACUAAAAAUUACUCAAUGAUUUUUUCCCCCCAUCACCAAAACCAACCCAAUUUAGUUUCCAUUAAAGCUGCCCAUUUGGGUUUGCUUCCGGGUAAAAGUUUCAUUUAUUCAUAUUCAUCGACAUCCCAAGUGCCAUUACACUCAGUUCAGAUAUAUUUGCUGCUAACACCAAGCUUAUGCCCUCAUUUUCUGGGCUAUCAUAUUGUGGCCAAUAAGUUCAAAUGUCUAGUGUUGCAGAAUUAACCCGCAUUUGAUGCAUGUCUAUCAUAAAUGAAUAAUUCUACGUGAUCCAGCUAGAAAAAACACGUUGUACCCAAAGGAUCGCAGAGUUCAUAAAGGGCAAAACAAGGAGCAAUAAACAAGAAGUAAUAUUGAGAGACAUACUGUGUUCGAGUGAAAUGAUUUCGAAAGGCUUGAAGAAAGGGCUGAUUGCUCCAUGAGAAUAUUAAGAUACAUAGAAGGAUGCGUCUUCGGACCAUAAAAAUCUAUAGCCUUUUGCCAAUUCUUCUCUGCUAGAGAACCGUACCACUUGGCCUUCUGACGAUAGUUAUUCUCGGGCUUAGAAUGCUUCAUUUCUUUAUUAUCCAAAUCCAGAAACUUCAAACACACAUCUCUAUGGUAGCAAGCAAGCUGAAAAUGAGCAAAAGCAGCCUCCUGUUUUCGGAGUUCACCGAGAGAUUCAUACAUAGACAUAGCUUCCCUAAAAGCAUCACUUGCUAACAUGUCAUGCUUUUUUCUAUUUUUUCCUUUCUCAUCACUUGGCAACUCAUCGAGAAGUCUACUUUCAUAGCUCUCAAGUGUUAUGCUUUCUCUGGCCAAAAGCAUUCCAAGCCUCAGAUAAGUAUGAGCAUAUUGUGUACACACCUCAUUACACAAUUGUUUAUCAACCUCAUUCCUAAAAGAAUCCAGUUCUCUUUUUGCAGCACUAUAGUAGUUCAGUGAUUGCAAAUACUCAAACUUAGCAGACUUGAUAGCAUUUUUAUAUGCAUUUUGAAGGAGAUCAUAUUUUGGAAGUUCAUCCAUCUUAGACACCACUUCUUCGGCCAAUGCUCUUCUGCCAUGGCCCAAAUUACAGUUUAUCAGUAUUAUAUUGGUGUGGUCUGAAACUUCUUGAAAUGCUUUUAUAGCAUCUGCAAAAGCACUUUCGGCACCGCUUAAGUUCUUGUUCUCGAGUCUAUAACGGCCUAGUUCAUUUGAUGCCCACCCUUCUUUCUUCAAAAUGGCGUAGAACUCUUCAGACUUAAUAGGAAAUCCUGCCAUUGCAUUCCUACCAGCAUCGUAACAUGUUACAGCGCAAGACAGGUUGUACUCAAUAUCUCCAUAUUUAGGACCUUCAAGAAACUUAAAUAUACCCCCACUUCUCGUGGUUGCAUCUUUAUUGGAUGACUGAGAACUUGGUACUUCACUAGCAGUAGAAUUGUGCAAUUGACCAUCUUCAGAACUAUUUACAAUUUCUAUUUUGGGCGAAUUACUUUCAUCUUGUUUUCCUCUUGAGUAUGAAUACGACUUUCUUGUUAGCGGCUUUCUUUUUUGCUUUCUGGUAUAGGAGGGUGUUUCUACAUUGCUACUGCUAGCGCUGUUGCCGCUGUUUACUCUAUCACUCUGGCAGCUACAGUUAAUCAAGGAGCAAGAACUGCAAUUCUGCUUAUACUGCCCCAGCUUCUUCUUAAGUCGUUUGACCUCCUUCACGACUUCAUUAGACAUUUUCAGCUCACCACCUGAUAUCCUUUCUCUUUCUACAGGAACUUCAUUACCCCUUGAUCUGUGAUACUCCACAAACACAUCCCCCACAAGCAUCCAUGCCUUGGUCCAAAAUAAAUAAUUAGAAGGCAAGCGCUCAACAACAAAAUCAUCAUAAAAGCACUGUGGAUUAACUGCUGCAUCACUAUCUAGACUAGGCAUAGAUGUGAUAAACUCAGCAUCAUCAAGAUGUUGAGGCAUUGAUCCGUAAAUUAGACAUGCCAAUUCUACAACCUUGAGAGCCUGAUAAAGUUGCCCAUCCUCCUUAUAAGCCUCCCCAAGAGCCAAAUAGGAUUCUCCCAGCAAAAGAACAAGCUUCCACAUUUUUUGGUCCAUUUUGGUUUUCGGAAGCCAUUCCCUAAUGUCGCAAACUUCUAUACAAUCAGGAUCACCACACAUGCAAAUGGAGAAAUUAAUGGAAGAUCUUUCAUGGGUUUUGUUCGUGUUAUCAGUAAAAUCCCCUCGAGUGUUCUGCAGCUGGCGUUUCCAUCGAAGAGAUUUGAUGGCUUGUGAUACAUGGUGUAUUGCAGCUAACUUCGAGCAGAUUGGAUCAGCUAUUGCCGUUACUACAGGAGAGGACAUUCCGAUUUGGCACAUAAUUUCCAAGUUAUCCUCUGUUCUGGAAGUAGAACUGCUUUGCACUGAAAUUUCUAUUUCUUUAUCUACAGCAUGAGGAAAAUCAUUAUCAAAACAAGAAUCAGCUUCCGACUUUGAUGCAGGAGAUGGCUCUGACUCUAAAUUUUGCAGAAUAGUACCAUCUUUGGUUGAAAUUGCAUCUUCAGCAGCAUGAGAUGAUCCCUUCUCUUGCAGUUUUGAUGCAAACAUUUCGAGAGUAUAAUCUGAAGAUUCAUCUUCCAAGUCGGUAACAGUAACUUCAGAUUCUAGAAGAAAGGAUUCUGACGUUAAUUCCAGCUCCUCGUAACAUUGCAGAAUGAGUCUUGCAAAUUGUUCAUGAGCAUAUGCUCGAAUUAUCUAGCACAUAAAGUACAUUCUUAAGACAGCAAUUCAAGGAAAAAAAAUAAAAAUUGACACCUUAGCAUAAGAAAGUCAACAUACUAGGUGAUCCUGCUCACUAAGGAAGUCCAAACAUUUCUUGAAGAACCUGGCGCACUUUGCUCUAUUAUCAGGUGUCUAUAGGAGAACAUGAAAAAUACAGAGUCAGCAUAUGUAGAUAAUAGCAAAGCCACAAUAAAGAGAUUUUGGUACCUUCGAAAGGGAUAGUCUGUGAGCAACACGGUAGAGAAGAGUCCCAAGAGAAAACAAAGAGUCCCUUCGCCCUUUGUUCAUUAAAGAUCUACAGUUGCUAUCAUCAUCAUCAGUUGAAUGUGUUUUCGGUAUCACAGAUAGAUCAAACAGUUGCAAAACAUCCUCUCCUGCACCUUUGUAUAACUGACAAAGCAAAACAUAAGCUCAAUCAAUGAAGCUAAUAUAAAGAGAGGAUAAACGUAAAAUAGACUAAAUAGUACAAGAGACAUCGAAUCUGGAAUCUGGGACCUCAAAAGAUCCUAAUACUAUACCCAGUAUGCGCCAGGAUCUUGUUUACAAUUAUCCUGAAGGAAUCUCAACACUGAAAGGCCAUUUUGUUGGACAAUGUGUGGAUGAAAAGCAGGUGUGCCAUCCUCAGAAACACCCUUAAGCAGAAAUAUGUCAUCUGUUUUCAGUAGCUCAUAACCUUGAACAACACCAUUUCUGUGAUAGCAGAUAGCCAACUCAGGCACGCUCGCCAUGACAUUGUCAAGCCAAGCUUCAAGCCAAGUUAACGGAGUGACCUAUCAUAUAAAGUACAUGACAAUUUUACAGAAAGAACCUAGAGAAUCAGAAAGGCAAAACAUUGCAGGGCCAAGCUUUUACCUGUCUUGAGACAUCCCAGAGGUGCAAGCUUACUGAGACGUACUUCUCAUUGCUGAAUAAAAGCAAGUCGCUACCUAACAGCACCCGAAAAUGGUGAAAUUGCCAGAAUAAAACCCUCAAAAAACCACUGCCGCCAACUUUUCUAUGCUUCUCAGAUUCUUGAACUGGGCCUCUUGGUUUUUCACCCACCUCUGAAGUCCUUUUGAUGGGAUAUUGUCUUUUACCUUCUUGCUUGUUCUGCCGUGUGCUCCAGUAGAAGUUAUCAUGAUUCGAUUCUGAAGUACUCCGAGUAUUACUAACAUUUUUAUCGAGAUAUUGAGAUGUAUUAACAUUGGCAGUUGCUGAAGAUACAAAAGUACCAUCUCUAUGUCCAAAAUGUCCAGGUAAGAUAGUGGAACGCGUUUGCUUCUCUGAUGAUGGUUUAUGACCAGGUGGGCAAUCACAAGCCUCAGCUCUCACUGAGUGCAUUGCGAAGUUUAAGAAGAUUGAAGGAUCAGAACCUUUAGAUUGGUUACUCUGUCUUCUGAAUGUCUUUUCUCCUUCUUCAACAUCAGGUCUAUCAUUCACAGGAAAAAGGGCGUUCAGAUAUAGUAACCA